CCAGAGGUUGAAGAUGGAGUUUAGUAAGAAGUUCAGCCUCUUUCCUCAACCUUCCUCACGGUCCUGGCCCCCUAGUGGCGACCUGCGCAGGCUCAAGGAAUUGGAUAAAGGUGAGAAAUGAAAGACAUGUCAAGCAUGCUGUUCUAGAAGGACGUGUUCAGAUGUGCCUGGGACCUCGCCCUGCGUAAUGCUUCAGGACUCAACAAGGCAGGCCCAGUGAUCUGUGAAUCAUCUUUAUCUUCUGAUAAAGAGGAACACGUUUCUCUAUGUUCAUUAAACAAAAGGGAAUGACCAAUAGCAGGAACUUCUUCACCAAGUCCUGGACACAGCACCUGCUUUUCCAAGUCAGAUACAAAGCCCAAACAUUUCCACUCUAAACAAUAUGCAGCUGUGAAGAACUGUGGCAGACCAGAAUGGGGACAAGUCACUGCAGUGGCUCACCAUUAAUAGCAGCUUGCAGCACCCAGAGGAGGAACUAUAUGCACAAAGGAGCCUGCUCAACCCAAUGAAGUAAAAACAUUAGCAGCCCUGGAGGCCUCAUUGUGAAGAUGGUUGUGUCACAAGAUGGGAGGAAACUGGAUCCCUGAGUCAGAGAAGAGGUGCCCAGGAGAGCCACCCAACCAAGAACACCUACACUGAACUUUGCAUGAGUAAAAAAAUAAUUUGUGUGUGUGUUAAGCGUCAGAGAUCCAAAUAUUGUUAACACUGUUAGAUUACCUCAAUCUAACUAAUCUGACUAAUGCAAAAGGAGUAUUAGGAGAUGUUUGCAAUAUUUGAGAUAAGAUAAAGACUUUCCAUAUUAUAUGCUGAAGUAUAGGAGCCCUUGGAGAAGACAAGUGGAAGAUGGAAGAAAGAGGGAUAAUAAUUUAUAGAUAAUAUUGAGAAGGCAGGAGGAGAUAGGAUCCAGAGCAUAAGAAGCAUUAGCUCCUUCAACAGGAGGCAGGAAAGAGGGAUGCCUAUUUAAAACAGAAGGGAAGACACAUCUAUAGGUGAGCAGUAAGAAGCCACCUAGUUUUCUCUAAGACAGAGGAGGUAAAGACAUCUGCUGAGAGAGUGAAAGGAUAGCAAUAAAGGUCCAAGACAAACAUUAAUAGUAAUUUCUGUGAAGAACAGGAGAGAGCUGGGCAGAGAUAUUUAACAAGUGAAAGGCCACCAGCCCACAUGGUUGGAUGAAUUUUCUCCAGCCCAGCUCAUCAUUCUGGGUGUAGGGGACAGAUAGAUGGAUUUUAGGAUUGAUCCAAGGUUAAAGGAUUGCAGAGUAGAUGCAUUGCAAGAACAAAGGAAUGGUGGAAUUGGCUCAGUAAGUUAGGAUAGGCCUAGCUGCUGUAACCAGGGACCCAACAGUAAUUCAGUUGUUCAAACAAGAUAGAAUUUUCCAAUUCCAGGUACAAUGGAGUAUUCCACAGUGGAUGCAGCUAAAAAUAAAACAAAACAAAAACCUGGACAUAAUAUAUAGAGCAGAUUUUUAAGGACUCUGAAAAUUAAAUAGCAGUUGGUGAUUGGGGAAGAGGACUAGAAUUUGAAGUACCAUCAAACUGGUAGUGAGUUUGUCAUCUUCUUGCUCCAAUAAGCAGCAUAAAACCUGAAUGUGGGCAUCUGCACAGAGGGAGCUCCAGGAGAAUCCCUCUAGCUCUGGCUCAAAGAACAGAGAAGAGUCUCCUAAUGCUCUGAGAGAGUGGGGAAACCCGCCUUUUUUCUUUUCUCCAUUCUCUCACACGCCAGCCCCUAAGAAAUCCCAUGGUGGCAGUGGCAGUGGCAGCAUCUGUAGUGACGGUUGGACCUGCAGGAUUCUAAAAUGCUGAGGGAGGGGAACCUUUGUCUCUGAUCAGAGGAGCUGUGAUCAUCUGUGUGGGACAGACCCCUGUUGCUUUUUGUUUUCUCUCUGCCCUCCUGCUGGUUGAUCCUGGACAUCAGUGUAAUUGCAAAAACUGUGAAACAGAGUCAAUAAAAAGCUCCAACUUUCUGGUUGGAGAAUUCCAGGUAACCAGAAAGUACUGAAGAGAUUGCCACAGGGAGGAGAUUGGGAAAGCAACCCCAUAAAGUUGCUUAUGAAUUCUUGGGCCCACUUCCAAGUGCAUAUGCCCAUGCCCAUGCUGACUCCAAACAGCAUACAAGUUUAAGAACUGAACUUAAACUUGUUCUAAUAAGAACUUGGAAUUCUUAUUAGAUACUAUGGAGGACAGAAAGAAGUGAAACAACAUUCCUAAAGUGAAGAAAGAAAAAAUACUGUCAAGCCAGAAUUCUAUAUCCAGCAAAAAUACUUUCCGGAAGGAAAGUGAAAUAAAGACAUUCUCAAUGAAGGAAAACUAAGAGCCAGCAGACUGCCCAAAAAUAAUUGCUAAAGGAAGUCCUUCAGACUGAAGAAAAAUUAUACCAGAGGAAGGAAACUUGGGAU